ACGAACGCUGGCGGCGUGCUUAACCCCUGCCAGUCGAACGGAAAGGCCCUGCUUUUGUGGGGUGCUCGAGUGGCGAACGGGUGAGUAACACGUGAGUAACCUGCCCUUGACUUUGGGAUAACUUCAGGAAACUGGGGCUAAUACCGGAUAGGAGCUCCUGCUGCAUGGUGGGGGUUGGAAAGUUUCGGCGGUUGGGGAUGGACUCGCGGCUUAUCAGCUUGUUGGUGGGGUAGUGGCUUACCAAGGCUUUGACGGGUAGCCGGCCUGAGAGGGUGACCGGCCACAUUGGGACGGAGAUACGGCCCAGACUCCUACGGGAGGCAGCAGUGGGGAAUAUUGCACAAUGGGCGGAAGCCUGAUGCAGCAACGCCGCGUGCGGGAUGACGGCCUUCGGGUGGUAAACCGCUUUCGCCUGUGACGAAGCGUGAGUGACGGUAAUGGGGAAAGAAGCACCGGCUAACUACGU
rnacentral:rRNA from 1 species